GCCGAAAGGCGUAGUCGAUGGAAAACGGGUAGAUAUUCCCGUACCACCAGUAUAUGAUGACGAUGCAGUGACGCAGAAAGGUAGAGCGAGUGCCCAGUUGGUGAGGCGUUCAAGUGAGUAGGGAGAAGUGCAGGAAAGACCACACUUNNGAGUGAAAAAUAGUAACGAAGUCCUUGAUCCUCCGCUGCCAAGAAAAGCUGCUAAGGAAUAUACAGGUGCCCGUACCGCAAACCGACACAGGUAGACAGGUAGAGAAUACUAAGGCGCGCGAGAUAACUCUUGUUAAGGAACUCUGCAAAA
rnacentral:rRNA from 1 species